CUCCUCAAUGUUCUGGGCGACACGCGCACUACAAUGUCAGUGAGAAUAAGACUUCCGACCUUCUGAUCGGACCCACGUGAUCAAAAGCGGGGGGAAUCACCGGAAUCACAUCGACCCACUUGGGACCGAGUAUUGCAAUUAUUGGUCGCGCAACGAGGAAUGUCUCGUAGGCGCAGCUCAUCAAACUGUGCCGAUUACGUCCCUGCCAUUUGUACACACCGCCCGUCGUUGUUUCCGAUGAUGGUGCAAUACAGGUGAUCGGAUAGAUGGGCGCUUCGCUUGUCUAAAAGUUCACCGAUAUUUCUUCAAUAGAGGAAGCAAAAGUCGUANCA
rnacentral:rRNA from 1 species